GACGAACGCUGGCGGCGUGCCUAAUACAUGCAAGUAGAACGCUGAAGAGAGGAGCUUGCUCUUCUUGGAUGAGUUGCGAACGGGUGAGUAACGCGUAGGUAACCUGCCUGGUAGCGGGGGAUAACUAUUGGAAACGAUAGCUAAUACCGCAUAAAAUGUAUUAUCGCAUGAUAAUCCAUUGAAAGGUGCAAAUGCAUCACUACCAGAUGGACCUGCGUUGUAUUAGCUAGUUGGUGGGGUAACGGCUCACCAAGGCGACGAUACAUAGCCGACCUGAGAGGGUGAUCGGCCACACUGGGACUGAGACACGGCCCAGACUCCUACGGGAGGCAGCAGGAGGGAAUCUUCGGCAAGGGACGGAAGUCUGACCGAGCAACGCCGCGUGAGUGAAGAAGGUUUUCGGAUCGUAAAGCUCUGUUGUAAGAGAAGAACGAGUGUGAGAGUGGAAAGUUCACACUGUGACGGUAUCUUACCAGAAAGGGACGGCUAACUACGUG
rnacentral:rRNA from 1 species